rnacentral:lncRNA from 1 species
AACAACGAUUCCUAGCAACGACUAGAAUACCUGACUCUUCUAGAGAGAACUUGAGAGGAAACAAAGUAGUUCAGUGAUGAUUCCUAGAAAUGGAAGGAAUACCUGACCCUACUUUGCGAGAAAUCUUGGGAAUGAAAGUCGACUUUACUGGGGAAAAUCCCUAACAACGGUUGGAAAGUUCCAAAAUCUGAUAGGGACCAAAUCUUAGCAACAACUAAGGAAGUCAAAAUUUGAUGAAU